rnacentral:piRNA from 1 species
UCCUGGCUCCUGAUCAAGUACCAUAAGGGC